rnacentral:rRNA from 1 species
UGGGGAAUAUUGCACAAUGGGCGCAAGCCUGAUGCAGCCAUGCCGCGUGUGUGAAGAAGGCCUUCGGGUUGUAAAGCACUUUCAGCGAGGAGGAAGGUGGUGAACUUAAUACGUUCAUCGAUUGACGUUACUCGCAGAAGAAGCACCGGCUAACUCCGUGCCAGCAGCCGCGGUAAUACGGAGGGUGCAAGCGUUAAUCGGAAUUACUGGGCGUAAAGCGCACGCAGGCGGUUUGUUAAGUCAGAUGUGAAAUCCCCGGGCUCAACCUGGGAACUGCAUUUGAAACUGGCAAGCUAGAGUCUCGUAGAGGGGGGUAGAAUUCCAGGUGUAGCGGUGAAAUGCGUAGAGAUCUGGAGGAAUACCGGUGGCGAAGGCGGCCCCCUGGACGAAGACUGACGCUCAGGUGCGAAAGCGUGGGGAGCAAACAGGAUUAGAUACCCCUGGUAGUCCACGCUGUAAAACGAUGUCGAUUUUGGAGGUUGUGCCCCUUGAGGCGUGGCUUCCGGAGCUAACGCGUUAAAUCGACCG